ACGUAGGUGGCAAGCGUUAUCCGGAAUUAUUGGGCGUAAAGAGCAUGUAGGCGGUUUAUUAAGUCUGGUGUGAAAGCUAGUGGCCCAACCACUAAAUUGCAUUGGAAACUGAUAAACUAGAAUACUGGAGAGGCAAGUGGAAUUCCAUGUGUAGCGGUGGAAUGCGCAGAUAUAUGGAGGAACACCAAUGGCGAAAGCAGCUUGCUGGACAGAGAUUGACGCUGAGAUGCGAAAGCGUGGGGAGCAAACAGGAUUAGAUACCCUGGUAGUCCACGCCGUAAACGAUGAGUGCUAGUUGUUGGAAUUAUUCAGUGACGUAGCUAACGCAUUAAGCACUCCGCCUGGGGAGUACGGUCGCAAGGCUG
rnacentral:rRNA from 1 species